AGGGUGACAGGGACCCAGCUGAUGCGAGCAAGUGGAUUCCAGCCGAUCGGAGAUAUUGGGGUUCAACUAUUAAAAGGCAAGAGAGUCUUGAUCGGCGAAGAUAUUGCGAGACAAUGGAUGUAGAGUUGGUCGAGGGAGGACAAAUUCGUUUUCGACUCUUGUACCAGUCGUUUUAUUUAGACAAGUUUGUUUCUUUAGUUACAUAUAUUGUAUUGCAUCAUAAUCGACUAGGACUAGGAGUCUUGAGUUUACGAUAUAAAUAGAGACCUUGCGAGGUCUGAAAAACAUGUACACACAAACAGACAAAUCUACUUUAUUUGUAAUUUACUUUCAAGUCGGCGACUUCGCCAAAGUUCUCUUUUUCUUCACGAGUUCUUCCAAGCUAGCAGAGCUGAAUCAUCUUGAUCUACGGCUGGAUUGUAAGUUCCGUGUAUAUCGAGUAAUUUCUAGGCUUUAACUUCUGGUGCAUCGCUGUUGUUUUGUCUAGAUUUAUUCAUCAAGUUAUCGAUAUUUGCUAGAUCUGCAAGUUUAUUUGAUUAAAUCUUGUUGCUUUAGCUUCUAUCACCACUAUCCAGCUUGGAAUAGAUUCUGAUCGGUUUCUUAUCCUGUUUUUCAAUCAAGGAGUGUUCUAUAGCCGAUUAGAUGUAUUUCAAGCAUUGUUCGCGUAGCAUUGUUUAGGUUGCGUUUCAACAGUUCAUUUGCAUUGAUUACACAUACAUCGGCUAACCUAGCCGAUCAUCUUUUUCUAUAUCGGCUACCCGACCGUUACGAUCUCCUAGAGCUAAUCGGAACAUCAGCCGAUUCACUCUCGAAUUUAACGUCUUCUUUUCCCUUGUCAAUUAGCAGGUCAAAUUGACUGGCACGCCUUGGAUCGAGAGGGUUA
rnacentral:lncRNA from 1 species